rnacentral:rRNA from 1 species
CGAACGCUGGCGGCGUGCUUAACACAUGCAAGUCGCCCGGCAAGGCCCUGCUUUUGUGGGGUGCUCGAGUGGCGAACGGGUGAGUAACACGUGAGUAACCUGCCCUUGACUUUGGGAUAACUUCAGGAAACUGGGGCUAAUACCGGAUAGGAGCUCCUGCUGCAUGGUGGGGGUUGGAAAGUUUCGGCGGUUGGGGAUGGACUCGCGGCUUAUCAGCUUGUUGGUGGGGUAGUGGCUUACCAAGGCUUUGACGGGUAGCCGGCCUGAGAGGGUGACCGGCCACAUUGGGACUGAGAUGCGGCCCAGACUCCUACGGGAGGCAGCAGUGGGGAAUAUUGCACAAUGGGCGGAAGCCUGAUGCAGCAACGCCGCGUGCGGGAUGACGGCCUUCGGGUUGUAAACCGCUUUCGCCUGUGACGAAGCGUGAGUGACGGUAAUGGGUAAAGAAGCACCGGCUAACUACGUG